AUGGUAUCCUGUUAUAAAGCAGGAAGGUGACCAUGUUUCUCAGACACAUUCAUUUUUACACCCCAGCUACUACUUAUACAUGUGUGAUAAAGUGGUUGCCCCAAAUGUGUCGCUUACUUCUGCUGUAUCCCAGUCUAAAGAGCUCACAAAGACAGAGGCAAGUAAGUCCAUAUCAAGACAGUCAGAGAAGGCUCACAGUAGUGGUAAACUUCAAAAAACAGUGUCUUAUCCAGAUGUCUCACUUGAGGAACAGGAGAAAAUGGAUUUAAAAACAAGUAGAGAAUUAUGUAGCCGUUUAGGUAAGUAUUCAGAGAUUAUCUUUCUAAAAUUAAAUAUCUAAUGAACACAUUUAUUCAGCAUUUUCAAACAGGCUUUUUGUUUAAGCUAAAUUUUCAGAUAAUUGGAGCUUUUACCUUUAAAAAUGCUACCCUUCAAAACUCUGGGUGAUUUAUUUUAAUCUCAGUUGCUAUACUUUUCUAGCGUGGUGAUAGCUCAGGAGACUGAGAUAGAUACAGGCUACCUGGCCUCAGACUGCAAGUUAUUUUUGUCCGAAUUUUUUUCCUUUCCUACCUUUUAUUUGCUG
rnacentral:sRNA from 1 species